rnacentral:rRNA from 1 species
UACGUAGGGUGCGAGCGUUAAUCGGAAUUACUGGGCGUAAAGCGUGCGCAGGCGGUUUUGUAAGCCAGAUGUGAAAGCCCCGGGCUCAACCUGGGAAUGGCAUUUGGGACUGCAAGGCUUGAGUGCGGCAGAGGAGACUGGAAUUCCUGGUGUAGCAGUGAAAUGCGUAGAUAUCAGGAGGUAUACCGAUGGCGAAGGCAGGUCUCUGGGCUGACACUGACGCUCAUGCACGAAAGCGUGGGGAGCAAACAGG